AACCUGGUUGAUCCUGCCAGUAGUCAUAUGCUUGUCUCAAAGAUUAACCCAUGCAUGUGUAAGUAUAGUAAUAUACAGCGAAACUGCGAAUGGCUCCUUAAAACAGUUAUAAUUUAUUUGAUGGAUAAAGGAUAUGGAUAACCGUAGUAAUUCUAGAGCUAAUACAUGCUUGAAAGCCUGACUCACGGAGGGCUGCAUUUAUUAGAUAAAGCCAAUAUUUAGGUGAUUCAUAAUAAACUAGCGGAUCGCGGCUUUUGUCGCGACAUGUCAUUCAAGUAUCUGACCUAUCAGCUUUGAUGGUAGUGUAUUGGACUACCAUGGCAUUAACAGGUAACGGGGAAUUAGGGUUCGAUUCCGGAGAAAGAGCCUGAGAAACGGCUAUUACAUCUACGGACGGCAGCAGGGGCGUAAAUUACCCAAUCUUGACUUAAGGAGGUAGUGACAAGAAAUAUCGAACUAGUGAUAAACUAGGAUUGAAAUGGACCAAAUUUAAUACCCUUGGCGAGUAACAAUUGGAGGGCAAGUCUGGUGCCAGCAGCCGCGGUAAUUCCAGCUCCAAUAGCAUAUAUUAAAGUUGUUGCAGUUAAAAAGCUCGUAGUUGGAUAUCUGGAGUAGCUGAAUGGGGUUUCCCCCCGUUCAUGGUACAUCCAUCCUUCUGUUAACGCGUGUUGGUACUCGUACUGGACGUGGGCUCAGAUAUUUUACCUU
rnacentral:rRNA from 1 species